rnacentral:lncRNA from 1 species
UUUUUUUUUUUUUUUUUAAGAUUUUGUUUAUUUAUUCAUGAGAGACACAGUGAGAGAGAGAGGCAGAGACACAGGCAGAGGGAGAAGAAGAUCCCCUGCAGGUAACCUGAUGUGGGACUUGAUCCCAGGACUCCGGGAUCACAACCUGAACCAAAGGCAGACGCUCAAUCACUGAGCCACCCAGGUGUCCCUCACUUUCUUGUUUUAUUUAUAAUUUUACUGACAUACAUGCAUCCCUAAUAUAGUUUAGUUUUAUCUCCUUUUGAACUAAAAUUUAAAUAAAUUCAUGCUUUUUUUUCUUUGCAACUUACAUCUUUUUCUCAAUAUUAUGCUUCUUAAGAUCCACCCAGGCUUUUGCAUGUGAUCCUAGUUCAUUUUUAUUGUUGUGUAUUAUUUAUCCAUUCUAUUGUUGAUGGAUAUUUGUGUUUCCAAUAUUUUAAUAUUGUGAAUAAUGCUGCCACCCUGAUUAAUUUUGCAUAUACGAUGCAGUGCACUCAUAUAUAAGUACCUUUAGAAAUAGAGGCUUGUUAUGCAUAUUUUUAACCUCUCUAAACAAACCACAGUUAUGUUCUGAAGUAUCCCACUCAUUUUUACUUGCCACAUGGAAAUUCUAGUUUUUGCAUGUCCCACAAGUUCGUGCUCUAUCUCACGGUGGUUUUAAUUUGUUCUUAUUGUUGAUGAAGGUGAGCACCUUUUCAUCCAUUAUUCACCAUUUGCUGUUCUUCUUGUGCACAGUGCUUCUUUUCUUGAGUAGUCUUUUUUUUUUUUUAAGUGACACUGGAUUUGAGUUUUAUUCUUUAUAUAUGUUGCAGAUAAUUUCUUUCCUUCUUGUACUCUUGUAUGUUUUUCCUUUCCUAAGAAAAGGAAUUAAGAAUUAUUCCUUUUGAUGAAAAGGAAUUUUCAUCAUAUUCUUUUGAUGAAAAGAUAUUAAUUUUAGCAGAUGCAAGUUUAUCAGUCUGGCUUUGUGACUUUUGCUUUAUGUCAUGUUGUAUAAAUAUUUUCAUAGCCCAAGUUUCAUUUUAUUUUCCAAAUGAAUAUGCAGUUUUCCCCAGUACUAUUAAAUGAAAGACUUUUCUUCUCCCACUGUUGGCUUUGUCCAGUGUUCAGUAUAUAUGGGUAUGGUUCUAGAUUUCUGUUCUAUUUCAUUCCAUUUACACUACACAUGCCUAUGCCAGGGACAAUGCCACUGCCAAAUUACUGUAGCUUUAAAAUAAGCCUUUGAUGUGUUAAAGAAUUUCGUCUGCUUUGUCCUUCUUCAAUAAUUUUCUUGACUAUUCUUUCUUAGUGCUUUGCAUUUCUAUCUAAGUUCUAGAAUGAGUUGGUGAAUUCCAACAAGAAAUAAAAACAAAGAACCCUGUUGGGUUUUUGGUUUUGGGGGGGGGGUUGUUUGUUUAUUUGUUUGUUUUUACUGAGAGGUUAUCUGGAAAGCAUACCAUAUUUAGCACACGGAGUUUUUCAAUCCAGAAACACUGCUUAUCUCUCCAUUUGUUUGAGUCUUCUCCGAAGUCUCUCCAAUUUUAUAUUUUCUCUCAAAGAAGUUUCACCUUUCUUUUGUUAGAUUUAUUUCUAGGUAUUCUUUUGUUUCUCAUUUGAUUGUAUGUGAUAUCUUUAAAUUCAUUUUCUGUUGAUGGUAUAUAGAAGUACAAUUCAUUUUGGUUUGUUGAGUUUGUAUCUAGCAAUAUUGCAAAACUCUUUAAUACAAACUAUAGCUUCUUUUUUUUCCCCCCACCAUGAUCAUCAUGAUAAUGUUUUAUUCUUUUCUUUUCUUUCCUAUCAACUGAAUGACUGCCUACUGCUUUGGCUAAUUCCACAGUUCAAUGAAAUAGAAAUGUAUUUCUUCCGUUUUAAAUAGAUAAGAUUUCCUAGUUAUCCUACUCAUAAUGGUUUUUAGCAAACUUUUACUGUAGUCAGAGAAUAUGCUCUGUGCAUUCUUCAAAUAUUUGAAAUUGGUGAGAAUUGUUCUAUGGUCAGAAAGGGGUAAAUCUGUAUAAAUGCUUUAUUUGCCUGAACAAAAUGUGUGCUCUUAGUUAACAGCAUGAAUUUUCCUAUACCUAUUCAUUAGGUCAAAUCAAGUAAUCAUGUAUUCAAAACUUGAGUGUUCUUACGGAUUUUUGGUUGGCUCAUUUGGUCAAUUACUCAAAGAGGUAUGUUUGAAAAUCUUACACUUAAUUAGUAUUUGUCUAUUUCCUCAAGAGUUUUGCCCUCUAUGAAACAAUCCACAUUUAAAAUUGCUAUAUGCUGGGGUACCUGGAAGCUCAGUUAAGCAUCUGACUCUUGAUUUUGGCUCAGGUCAUGAUCUCAGGGCCGUGAAACCGAGCCUCACAUUGGCUCUGUGCUGAAUGUGGAGCCUGUUUAAGACUCAUUCUCUCUCUCUCUCUCACCAUCUCUUGCUGCCUCCCUCUCUAAAAAGUAAAAAAGUAAAAUAAGAUUGCUAUAUGCUACUGGCAAAAUAAAGCUUUUAUCAUUAUGAAGAAAUCUUUUUAUCUGGGGAUAUGAUUUUUGCCUUCAAGUUUAACUGCUUGAUAUCAAUCUUACUUCUCUGUAUCUGUUUAGUAUUUAUAUAUUAUAUCUUUUCCAGCCUUUCAAUUUCAGCUACUUUGUAUCUAUGUGUUUUUAAUGUGGCCUUUGUGAACAGCAUUCAUUUGAAUUUUAAAAAUCCAAUCUACAAUCAUUAUCUUUUAACCUGAGUCUUUGGUUUUCUAUAGUCUCACUAAGAUGUAUGGAGGUAAAGAUUAUGUAUCCCAGUAGUUUUCCAUGUUACUUAUCCUUUCAUCUUUAUUUUUAUUUUUGCCUUUUUGUGCUUCCUUAUCCAUAGCUUCUUUUAAUAUUACCCAAUUUAUUGAUUCUCUCUUCUUCUGCGUCUAAUCAGGUGAUAAAUCCAUCCAGGGAGAUCUCAAUUUUAAUUAUUGUAAUUUUUAGUUCUGGAAUUUUUAUUUGGUUCUUUUUCAUAGCUACUACACUAUUUUUAGCUUCUAGUAUCUGUGCCAAAAUUCUCAAGUUUGUCUUUUGUAACUUAACAUAACAAACACGAUUGCCUUAGGAGCUGUGUCUAUAAUUCUUAUUGUGAGUUUGUUUUGACGAUUAUUUACUUGUUGACGGGGGGGUAGAUACCUAUGAUCUCUAAUUUCCACGUGCACAUUUAUUUAUUUUUCUUAGAGAGAGGAUGCAUGCAAGUGCAAGCACGGGGGAGGAGCAGAUGGAAAGGGAGAGAAUUCCAAGCAGGUUUGGUGGGCAGGGUGGAGUCCAAAUGUGGGGCUCAGUCUCAUGACCCCAAGAUCAUGACCCAAGACAAAAAUCAAGAGUUGGAUGCUUAACUGACUGAGCCACCCAGGCACCCCUCCAUGUGCACAUCUUAAACUGAGUGCUCAAAAAAAAAAAAAAAAAUUGAGCGUUCAAAAUUGUGUUUGAAAAAAAAUAGGGAUAGUUUGAAGCCUAUUGAGCCUAUUAUCAAUAUAAUGCUUUAGAGAGGAUUUUUUUUGCUUCUGCCAUGUUCCUGUGGGUGAUCCAGCACUUAUUUGCUGGGUAAAGUGAGCAGGAUCUGUCUAUCUUUAGAAAAGUUAUUCCUUUGGUAUCUAUACUAGCCCAGAUGAGGGUCAACUGGUGACCUUCACUCUGUCUGGUCUCUUUCAGCCUAGGAAUUCAAAGCUUUUUUCACAAUACAUGAUGUUCUCUUUUUUUUUUUUUUUUUUUGAUGUUCUCUUUUUGAAUGUUAUUUAUUUGGAAGACAAACUCAUAGAAGUACUCAAUUGGCAGUUGGGCACAGAUAAGAUAUACUGAUGUUUACAUGUAAUUCUCUGUUGAGUAGCUAGAAACAUACCCUUUCUCUUUUAUUCAGGGAAGCACAUCUGAUAGUAUAUUAUUUAUGAGUACCAUUUAAUUAUUAAUUUAAUUAUUUAAAAAUAACUUUUAAAUUUUGUUAAUUUAUUAUGGAUGACAUUACCGGCCCACCUCACAAAUGAUAUAGUUAAAACCAUUUAUCACAUUGAGAUUGACUCUGAGGAUGCUGAUAGCUGUUGUUCUAGGGCAUUUCUACAGUAUUUAUGAAGUGGGUCAAAUUACUUUCCAGUUUUGGGCCAAAAAACAUGAUCAAGCAAAGGGAGAAGCAGGCUCCAUGCACCGGGAGCCCGACGUGGGAUUCCAUCCCGGGUCUCCAGGAUCGCGCCCUGGGCCAAAGGCAGGCGCUAAACCGCUGCACCGCCCAGGGAUCCUACUAUUUUCAUUAGCAAAUAAAUAAUAGUGGAAAUGAGCAGGGAGGAAACGAGAUGGACUCAAGAUAUAAUUUUGAGGUAGAAUGGCCAGGGUUUGUUGGUAAGUUGGGGCAUAGUGUCUUCAUUGGUCAGGGAAUAGGAGCAGAGUUUAGGGAUCAAAGAAGACUCCCAGGUUUCUAGCUUGAAUAACUGGUGAUACCAUUUACUGACUACAAAAAAAUGUGCUGGGCAUGGCCACUAAGAGUUUUCCUUUGGGGUAUUAUCAAGUUUGAGAUAUGAGUAUUGAGUUAGGUAAGUAAAUAGGGAUAUUAAGUCUACAGUGGAUACAUAAAUCUGGAACACAGAGGAAGAGUCUAGUCUGGAAAAAUAAGUCUGGAGGCAUCAGUACCUCAGCAUGAAGAUGGUAUUGAAAAUCAUAUGAAUGGAGAACCCCUCUCAUGAAAGAAGAAUGGCUGGAGAGAUGGCUGAGAAAGAGACUAAUGUGUGUAUUUCAUUACUAUUUACAUAAAAUUUUAAAAACACACAAAACAACCAUACAUAUUUUACAAGAAUACAUAUGAAUAAAAUGAAAGAAAUAAACACAUUAUAGUAAUUUUCUGGAGACCAAAAUGAAAAAAAAAAGGUGUAAGAAAUGAAUAGAAAAGGAAAAAAUAGUGAAAUCAAAUAUGAAUGGACCUUAUACUCUCUAAUGUGCUAUAAAGUUAAGAAUAUGGUUAACUCAACGCUCUCUAUGGUAGAUUUACUAAAAAAUUUUAAAGAAAAAGGUUAACUAAGGUCAUAUCGGACAGAGCCCUGAGUCACUUUCUCAUUUACAAGUGAAAGGCUGGCAAAGAAUAGUAUGAAGAAAUAGCCAAUGAAAUUUGGUAGGGGGAGAGAUUUCCAAAUUACAAAGAUCAAGAAAGAUAUUUCCAAGGAAAAGGCAUGUCAAUUGCCUUUCAAUGCUGCUGAAAAGACAGAAAACUGCCCAUUGGACUUGCACUAUGGUUAGUGCAAGGCAUUGGUAACCUUGACAAGAGCAGCAUCAGUGAAGUAAUGCUUACUGAAGGUCGCUGGUGCCUGGGACUGACCCGCUUAUUGAAGAGAGAAUGAGAGCUGAAGCAUUGAAGAUGGUGCAUAAAUACAGUGUUUUCUAGAAAUGGGGAUGUAGUUGAAGUGAGAUGCAGGGUUGGGGCUGGUUUGCUUUUUUAAACACAAGAGAUAAUACAGGGAGUUUCGGUAUCAAUUCUGGCAAUGGUUCAAUAAAGAGAAAUAAACUGAUGAUAGAGGGUAAAAAGGUGGAAAAUUUAAGGAGCAAUGUCUUUGUGAGGGUGUGGGUUCCAGCACAUUAGUAGAAGAUUUGAUUUUUUUCCCCUUUAUUUUUCUUAGAGAACAGAGGAAGUGUAGGUUAAUUUGUGUUCUUAUUCCUAAUUUUAGUGUUUUCCAACGUUAUUGUACAUGAACAUACUUUAAAGAAUCAAGAAGUUCUACAAGACAUUCAACAUAAGCAGGGAUCCCUUUCUACCUCUCCGCCAUUUGUCCCCACUCAGAUCCACCAUUUCCAGCUCCAGGUAUAUGUCUGUGUCUCUCAGUGACAUGCCAGUACAGUACUAUUCUUUCUUAUUUCUUUUAGUUUGUGGUUUCAGGUCAUGACUUCCCACUAUCAGAAACGAAGAUUAAUGUGUUUUCAUAUCCUUAUUCUUUUAAUAUAACAUUAUAAUUUUGGUUAGGACAAUAUUCAAUUUUUGAUUUAUUUUAACUAUGACCACUCUAAUUUAAUAAUGAUCAUUUUUCCUUUCCUGAAAGAUACAACUGUUUUUAUUUCUUCGUUUAAUAGUUGUCUUCUUUUCUUUGCUGAAUUUCCUAAGGCAUUAGAAAUUCAUUAUCCAAAUUCUCCCCUAGUUCUCUAAAUCUUUCAUGAAUAUAUUCAAGGCUUUAAACAUUUUAUAUUCUGGAAGAAAUAACCUCCUGGAGGUUCGGAUCUGCUUCAGUCUGAAGUGGUUGCUCUUUAUGCUAAGUGCAAGCUGUCAUACUUUCAUUUAGGGAGUGUUCCAAGUCUUUGUUGCUUAUGUUGGAGACUUUUCUGAAGCUCAUGCCUGCCUCUCCCUUGGUUUACUUCCUAGUUUCAGUGGAGCGCUUUCUCUGGAGGUUUUCCGAAAAAGGAUAGAUGGAAGCAAAUUUUUUGAGAUCUUGAUCACAUGAAAAUAUUUUUAUUCUAUCCUCAUACUUGAUUUGGCUGGGUAUAGAAUAUCAAGUUGGAAAUAAUUUUCUUUCAACAAUUUGAAGACAUCAAUCAACUGUGCUCUAGAUUCCAAGGUUGUUGUUGAGAAGUCAUAAAGAUUUCUAACCCUCUGUAGGUGGCUCAUUUAAUUUUCUCUCUGGAAAUUCUUCUUUUUGCUCCAAGGGUUGUAACAUCUCUCAAUGAUAUAUCUUAUUGUGUCCUGUGUUCCCAACUGUUCUAGACACUUGAUAGGCUUUCAUUCUGAAACUCAUGUCUGCUACUUUUAAGAUAUUUUCUUAAAUUUGUUUGUUUAAUGGUUUCUUGUACAUUGUUUUCCAAAAUUAUUGAGAUGUUGGACAUACUGGAUUGUCCUCUGGUUUUAUUAAUUUAUGUCUCAUAUUUUCCUUCUCUUUGAAUAUUACCUCUACUUUCUGGAAGACUUUAAAGUUAAAUCUUCCAAUCUUUCUAUCAAGUUUCUGAGAAAUUCCUCAGUAAUCUUCCAAGCUUGGAGGUAUACUGAAUUAGAAUAUUCAAAGUCUUUAUUUAGAAGGAGGAUAUUUAGACUGAUAAGAAUAAGGAAUUAGUAUCAAUUUUGUCAACUAUGUUAGAUUUGGAACAGAGAAAGAGAAAACGAUUGCAUUGUUCACUUGGCUUUCAUAGCAAGGACAGUGAGUCCUGUGACUUGAGCACAAAGAAAACAGAAACACAAACAAACCACACAAAUAUCAACAAGAAAGCAAGUCAAUAUUAUUAUAGACAAAGUUCAAAGUAACAAACAACAAAAAAAAA